UCUGAAUUCUUUCUCAACACGCAACACCUCCUAUACUUACCUCACCACCUUCUACCAAUGCUACAAACCUCUGCAUCGUCUUCUCUCUCUUCAUCUCUCUCCGUCUCUCUGAAGAAAACCACCACCUCUAAACCACGUGACCUUAACCACAACAGAGGAACUCUCAACACCGCCAGCAUUAACCUUCUUCCCUCAACUCUGUCGGCUCUCUCUCUCUCUCUCUCUCUCUCUCUCUCCCUGAAAUUCUUUCUUGCACACUUCUUUUAUCCCUCUUUAAGAAACUUUACCUCUCAUGUGCUUAGAUUGAGUGCGAGAGGGUGAGUGAUGGGAGGUGAUAGGUGAGGUAAGGUUAGAUCUAUUGCUUCUAAUGGCGGUGGUUGUAGUGGGUCGUGAUGGUGGUGAUGGAAAUUGUAAAUCGUGGCGAUGAAGAUGAUGGUAGCAUCAAUGUUGAGGGAUGAUUUUGGUGGCUGAAUUUUAGAGAGAUGUAAGAGGAAUGGGGAAAUCUCGUCUCUUACGAUUGUUGCUUGACGACCUCACAACUCCGAUUUCCCCCAAUAGCUUCUCAUUAUCUUUGGCUCCAUGAUAGGUAAUAAUUUUUUCAAAUCAACUUUUGUAUCUUUGAUGACAGGGGGAGUUCGAUGGUGCUCAUGCUUUGAACGGACUAAAGUUCAUCACCAAAGGGCGAUAAUUGAUUCCUCACGAAAUCGAGGGUGUAGUAGAGUUGACAUUUUGACGAUCUAGAAGAAAAUUUUCCAACGCUUCAGGUGGUAAAGUGCUUCCAUUCCAUCAUUUAGGGUUGGAAGAUUACAUUGAGCCCCUCGAGUUGUACUUUAAUAGAUGCGUAGAGGUAACUUUUUUCUACAAUUCGUUUAUGGAAAUCUGUAUUCAAGUGUCAUGUGUAUUUAUUAACUAUUCAAACAAUAUCUAUUUGAUAUAAUAGUUAAUAAUGACUUUCAAAUUAUCAUGGCAGACAGGUAAAAUAUAUUGGUUUCUUCAGGUAUGAUUUGGUUUGGAUGUGCUUUCAAAUUUCAAAUUAAGAGAUAAAUUUAGGGUUUCAAAAGAAGAGAUUAAAUUUUUGAGAAAGCCCAUAUUUGGUUUUGGUGAUUUUGUAGCUUGGAAGAGGUUUCAAACUACUCAGUUUCAUGGAGUAGCUGGCAUAAACUUCAAAAUUUUCAGUUGUUGUAAUUACUACUACUACCACUACCAAGGAGAAAUCGCCUAUCUCAAUUUUUGGAUCUGAUCUAAAACUUUACCAAGUGGUCCUUCUUUGGAUCCUUCCGGUUCUGCCAUGGCAUUUUUGUUUGUGACAUAGAUUGCAUGGAAGUUGUUUAUCAGGCAGCCCAAAGAUCAUCCAAAAGAAAAUCGUAUGAUAAGUUCAUAUUUCAAGGAUGGAUUGUAGGAAUUAAAGUUCAGUUUGCCCUUUAAGACCAUUUGAAGAUGAGUGCAUUCUUUGUUCAUGUUCAAAUUUAUGAAUAAUUAUAAUAAUAAUAAUAAUAUUUAUUGGCUUUUAGUACCCAAUGUAUUUUGGAAGGAGAUAGGGUUAAGAAGGUCAUUGUUAAUGAAUUAAUUCACAUGGAUUUGAUUACUAUAAACAAAUCACAUGGACCAAAACUAUACUAUACUCAUUUUGUUAUAAACGACACUGAUUCUAACUCAACAAAUUUCGAUGGGAAGAAUAAAGGUAACUUGGGCAAUGCACUCUAUUUAUUACCAUAAGAUUAUUAGUAAAAAUGAAAAGUACGUUGCUUUUUUAGGUAAGAUAUUACAAGUGGGUGAAACUUGAAUUGCAA